CAAUAGCGUAUAUUUAAGUUGUUGCAGUUAAAAAGCUCGUAGUUGGAUUUCGGUUAAGAGCGACCGGUCCGCCGUUUGGUGUGCACUGGUUGGUUUUAACUUCCUGUAGAGGACGUGCUCUGGGUUUAACGACCUGGACUCGGAGUCUACGUGGUUACUUUGAAAAAAUUAGAGUGCUCAAAGCGGGCUUACGCUUGAAUAUUUCAGCAUGGAAUAACACUAUAGGACUCCUGUCCUAUUUCGUUGGUCUCGGGACGGGAGUAAUGAUUAAGAGGAACAGUUGGGGGCAUUCGUAUUUCAUUGUCAGAGGUGAAAUUCUUGGAUUUAUGAAAGACGAACUUCUGCGAANGNAUUUGCNAAGGAUGUUUNCAUUA
rnacentral:rRNA from 1 species